AAAUCAUGAAACCGAUUUCCAUUCUAACAUAACGCAUAAUCCCCAAAACACACUAAAAAUGACUUCGAUUCCUACUCUAACACAAGCCACCAUUGCUUUUCCCAUCAUGAGGAAACAAUGUUCACACUUCUAGGCAGCCCUCUACGACAAGAAACAAAAAAGUACAACCACGAGAAAUGGACCUACGCUGAAGGAAAAAUACCACAACCACAUUCUCAAGCCUACCGGGACGCAUAUACUCGCUCCAAACACAUAUAAACAACUGGCUAGUUUGGCAUGUACCCCGUCGAGAGCGUGAUAGGCCUCUAUAAACACUGGGAGGGAAGCUAGCAGAGCACUCCUCUCUACCAGUGAACAAGCCUUGCGCCGAUCCCGUGAACCAUUUUAGAAGACCUGGCUGAUCUGAUAUUGCGGCGUGCUAUCAUCGUAGGGAGAAAGUGGUCCCAGCGGAUGGACAGACUCAUUCCAAGGUAAGUUUCUGUCUAGCUCAGCACAAACUCGUUGUUGAGUUCUCAUGGAGAUAUCUCUUCGAACUGCAGUGUAAACAAGAAGCACAAAAGCUUGUGUAAAAUAAUAAAUUAGCCUCCGUCCCUGGCUUCUAUUGGCUGAACGGCUUGUCGGUUAAUGACGUCACUUUGGAUAUGCCGCUAGCCCUGGGGACAGCUUAUCGCACAGAAUAUUUGACAACAGAGGGCUGUCACUAGGGGCCUGGGGACGAGGCUAAUAAAUAACACCCAAUGAA